AACGAACGCUGGCGGCAGGCCUAACACAUGCAAGUCGAGCGCGCCCUUCGGGGUGAGCGGCGGACGGGUUAGUAACGCGUGGGAAUAUGCCCAAAGGUACGGAAUAGCCUCUGGAAACGGAGAGUAAUACCGUAUGUGCCCUUCGGGGGAAAGAUUUAUCGCCUUUGGAUUAGCCCGCGUUAGAUUAGGUAGUUGGUGGGGUAAUGGCCUACCAAGCCUACGAUCUAUAGCUGGUUUUAGAGGAUGAUCAGCAACACUGGGACUGAGACACGGCCCAGACUCCUACGGGAGGCAGCAGUGGGGAAUCUUGGACAAUGGGCGCAAGCCUGAUCCAGCCAUGCCGCGUGAGUGAUGAAGGCCUUAGGGUUGUAAAGCUCUUUCAACGGUGAAGAUAAUGACGGUAACCGUAGAAGAAGCCCCGGCUAACUUCGUGCCAGCAGCCGCGGUAAU
rnacentral:rRNA from 1 species